rnacentral:lncRNA from 1 species
CCUUCUCCUCUCUCGUUUUCUUUUUCGGGAGGAUAACAAUAUGCAGCAUUGCCUGAUCAAACAAACAGUGCCUAAAAAUUGAAUCUUUUAAAAGCAUAUUCAUCCACAAAUAGCAACGAAUCGGUUCUCAUUUACAAAGCUUCAAAAAAUUCAGAUUAACGAUUUUUUUUUUCCACACAACACCACCAUGAACGAAACCCAAAGUUACAUCAUUUAGAUCAUUAAUAUAUAAUCAAGCAAAAUGGUAAUAAAUAAAUUGAAAGCAUGUAUGAAUGCGGACAUAUUAUAGACCCAAAUAGCAGAGAAAGUGAACGAACCUGGUACAAAAACCACACAAUUCGCCCUGAGAUCCAACGGUUGCAAAAUUCCGACCAGAAAAUCAGCCGUCGGGAUACAAUCGGCGUAUAUAUUAUGUAAUCACUGUCAACAACUACACUGAAGACCUAAUUACAUAAUCCCUUGUUGCGGAAAGAAUUAAUAAAAACAAAAUAAGAAAUCGGCGUGGAAAUAGCAAAAUUGAAGAAUUACAGCUUAAUUAAUGAUGAUUUUAAUGGUCUCUCUCUCUCUCUCUGAAUAAAGUUGGAAGGUGGUGUGGCAGAGUUGCCGGAGAGGGGGGCAAAAGGAGGUGGCGUGGGGAGUGGGGGGGUGGAUAGGGUUUUGGAGGGUGACACGUGAGGAGGAAAGUAGAAUCCAG